UCCGUCUACUGUCAAUCAGUA
rnacentral:piRNA from 1 species